UACCAGACUCCUACGGGAGGCAGCAGUGAGGAAUAUUGGUCAAUGGGCGCGAGCCUGAACCAGCCAAGUCGCGUGAGGGAGGACGGCCCUACGGGUUGUAAACCUCUUUUGCCGGGGAGCAACGGGCGUCACGUGUGGCGCCACUGAGAGUACCCGGAGAAAAAGCAUCGGCUAACUCCGUGCCAGCAGCCGCGGUAAUACGUAGGGGGCGAGCGUUAUCCGGAUUCAUUGGGCGUAAAGCGCGCGUAGGGGGCCUGUUAGGUCGGGGGUCAAAUACCGGGGCUCAACCCCGGUCCGCCCCCGAUACCGGCAGGCUUGAGUCUGGUAGGGGAAGGCGGAAUUCCCAGUGUAGCGGUGGAAUGCGCAGAUAUUGGGAAGAACACCGGCGGCGAAGGCGGCCUUCUGGGCCACGACUGACGCUGAGGCGCGAAAGCUAGGGGAGCGAACAGGAUUAGAUACCCGAGUA
rnacentral:rRNA from 1 species